GGGAUCAUCCUGCUCCUCAAAGAUUAGGAGUUCCCUUCGGGAACCCUAAUACAGGUGGUGCAUGGCUGUCGUCAGCUCGUGUCGUGAGAUGUUGGGUUAAGUCCCGCAACGAGCGCAACCCUUGUUGUUAGUUGCCAGCAUUAAGUUGGGCACUCUAAUGAGACUGCCGGUGAUAAACCGGAGGAAGGUGGGGAUGACGUCAAGUCAUCAUGCCCCUUAUGACCUGGGCUACACACGUGCUACAAUGGACGGUACAACGAGAAGCGAGACUGCGAAGGUAAGCUAAUCUCUGAAAACUGUUCUCAGUUCGGACUGCAGGCUGCAACUCGACUGCACGAAGCUGGAAUCGCUAGUAAUCGCGGAUCAGAACGCCGCGGUGAAUACGUUCCCGGGUCUUGUACACACCGAA
rnacentral:rRNA from 1 species